rnacentral:rRNA from 1 species
UACGUAGGGUGCAAGCGUUAAUCGGAAUUACUGGGCGUAAAGCGUGCGCAGGCGGUUGUGCAAGACAGAUGUGAAAUCCCCGGGCUUAACCUGGGAACUGCAUUUGUGACUGCACGGCUAGAGUGCGGCAGAGGGGGAUGGAAUUCCGCGUGUAGCAGUGAAAUGCGUAGAUAUGCGGAGGAACACCGAUGGCGAAGGCAAUCCCCGUGGGCCUGCACUGACGCUCAUGCACGAAAGCGUGGGAGCAAACAGG